UUUCCUUUCCAUCGCAAACUGAUUUAGAAGCAAAACUUUCUACAUUUAGGCGGCGAGAGGCUCAGCUUCUCUUUUCUCUCUCUUGCACCAGUGGUGAGUGAAUGGAAGGGGGGACGAAGGGGUGCGGCCAACGCAGGGUGACUGCAUGCAGCUUCCUUUUUUUUUUCUUUCUUUCUUUCUAAUUGAGCCCCAAAGUGAGCAAACAAAUCGCCGUUCAUAUUUUCCACGCUGCGACGGCCUCGUGAGCGACCCAGCGAGAGUCUGCGGUCAGAGGCGGGCAGUGCUGCUGGCCCAUGGCGCUGCGGUGUCACCGAACAGCCGUGGAGUUGCAGUGAGCAGUGCGCAUCCCCCCCUGCAGCGCUGCAUGGGAUGCAGCACAUGAUUCAGCCCCACUGGGUAAACAAGCCUCUUCCUGCUGCAGGGAAAGUCCCGGCCGCAUCGGAGCCCUGUGGGGUGGAAGCUGCUCUCGCUGCUCUCGAUGGGUUUGGGACGGGUUUGGGGUGAGAUGCAGCACCUGGAGCUCGGCUGCGUCCUCUGACUGCUGCCCAGCGCCUCAGUUUCCCCACUCAGGCUCACGCUCCCACGCUGGGUUUGCUCCAAGCUCUGUGCCAUGGGGGCAUGAAAUCAGCGAGGGCAGUCUGCGAGGAGAAAACCCGACUCUCGGGAUGAAAGCCUAAUUAAAGAGCUAAUUACAGGGGAGGUCCGGCUGUGCGGCCGGCAGGCAGA